rnacentral:lncRNA from 1 species
UAUGAGUGACUCGACGUGCCUAGUUGUAAUGACGACGUCGUCCACGUAUGCUUCAACUGUCUUGCCGAUCUGUUUCUCUAGGCAUGUUUGAAUCAUGCAUUGGUAGGUGGCCCCGGUGUUUUUGAGCCCGAAGGGCAUGGUGUUGAAGUAGAAAGGCCCAUAUGGGGUAAUGAUGCCGUUGCGGCUUGAUUGUGGCACCCUGAUCCGCAUGGAGCAGGGGGCCUUCGCACGUCAGCCCAGGAUAACACCUGGCGCACGACAGGUCCAUAAUACAGCAUUCCAGGUACAAUAAUAUUCAUCAAAUACAUGUGCAUAAGCUUAUAUCAUUGAUGAAUACAAUCAUCUGGCAUAGCCCUAUGGCUAUUUGAAUGGCAGGGAAAGUCUAUUAAAAAUGGCGGCGGAUGUCUUGGUUUGGCGGCUCAUCAACUCUGGCUGGACUCCACAACUCACAGGACUGGCAAGGUUACAGCCUAGCAUGAUGGAUCAAGCGAACGAUUCGAGUAUCACCUACAAAACUGGCAUGACACGCCAGGUCAGUACAUUGAAUGUACUUGCAAGACAACCAAAUACAUAGCAUCCAAACAAGCAGAAGACAAGGCAAGAACCGAGCGCAUGUAACAGCAUAUCUCAUAUCAAUUACUAAACAUGGCAUGAUAAAGAUCAACUAAGCAUGAACAAUAUCAUAGCAUCUACUAACAUGACAGUAAUCAUGGCAUAUCAAAACCAGCCUCUACAUGGCAAUGGCAAAACAUAGCAUAUAAUCUCAAUCAUGGCAUAAUUUAACAUAUAAAUCAAAGCAUGGCAUGGCAUCAUGAAACUAUGCUGAAAAUAAACUACCGAUCAUAUCCCAUGCAGACAUAACAUGUUAACUAUAUGCAACCAUCUUCCGUUCUAUCAUGGUUCUUUAAAUGCAAAUAAUGAUAUAUUACUCAUGCAAUGCAACCAAACUUGUGCACCGAGUCCCUCGGACUCUCUUAUCCAACGGGUUGCCUCGCAACCGAACGGUGAUCUUUCCGGCGAUCACAACCACGACCAACACUUGGUCUCCAACACUCACCGAGACCUCGUCUCGUGGUCAUAUCAAACCAUUGCCCUGACUUCUCAUGACUAUCUCACAGUUCAAGUCACCAUAUUCUUCACAUCUUUAUUUACCAACUUAAUUAUUUCAGGUUUAUCCUCCAUUUCGACCAAGACCUGAUAGUGGGACCUACUACGAACUAUGUUGCUAUCGAUAGACUUUAUAUACACUCUGCAGUGGUAGCACACUGUACCCACACCACGGAACUCUUGGCCUCGUCAUCCCAUUCGGGUGGACCAACGGCAUUCCGACGAAACCGACCUACUGACGUGACACUCUCACAACCACUCUGACCCACUCCCAACUGGGCUAGUCCUGGGUGGCCCCGUGUCUACCAAAGACACAACGACCACCGUCGUGGCCAAAACGUCCCUCACGGGGACCGGUACAAAAGAUUAUAACAACGGGCACACAAGGUUAUGUCUGCCUACCUGAUCAGGGUAAGCAUGCCCAUAACCUUCCCUAGUUGGAGGCACUGGCGAGAGGCACGACAAUAGAUCGCAUUAAGGCCUCCCCAUAAGGCAAAUGUGGCCGCACUGAAAAAGUUUGAUUUGGUGGCACUAUGCCUCGAUCCCAUCGAUGACGGAGGAGGUUUGUUAUUAUUAAGUCAUUUUAUUUUCUUAUCCAUCAUCAUGAACAUGAAUGCAACAAUGAGCAUGCAGCAUACAAAUGCAUGAACAAAAUAUUGAACUUCUCAAGUGCACAACUAUAGCAUAAGGAACAUGACAAUACCAAGUAAUAGCAUAUCAACGGUGCAUUACAAUCCUCAUAACAUUUUAUAACAAAGACAUGCAAAUAAAGUAGAGUAGUGACAUGGCAUUAUCAAUAACAACAUUCUAAUUAGCAUGGCAAACGAUAUUGUGAAAACAGAAGCAUGCAUGACAGUCAUAAUGGAAUAACUGCAGACGAAAACGAUAUGAAACAACUUCAACUACACACACAAGGUGCAAGCAAAGUCAACAUGGAAGUUCGGGGCUCAUGAUAAGAGGUUGGCUUGCCUGGGGGGUCGACAAAUACUCCGGGAAAAAGUGCGGAACGAUCGCGGAAAGAUAUGCCGGAAACAGUUCUCUCUCGGAGGGGGCUGUUUACGGGCAAGGGAAAAAUGGGCAUUUUUAGAAUGUGCAAACAUAGAGAAAAUAGAAUUGAGCGUUGGAAUCACCUUAUUCGGAGUUACGGGUAAAAAGAUACGGAUGUUUAAAGCUCAGGGACUAGUCUGUAAAAAUACUUCUACAAGCAGGUCCCUGGUAGUUUGAAUAGAACGUGUCUUCUCUGAAAAUACGUUUUCCAGAGACGGAAACGUAUUCCCGGCAGAGGAGAAGUACGCUUUCUGAGAUUGAAAGCGUACUUUCCAGAAAUGCGCUUUCGCGCGGGGAAAGCGACUUCGCGGCGGGGCGCCGCCACUUAUCCGACGUGGCCAGCGGGUCAACACGGCAGCAGCGCGGCCGGGCGCCUGGGUCACUGCCAGGUGGGGUCAGGGAAAGGCGCGGGGCCCUCCUGGCCAGGUCAACGCCUCCUCCUGGCCGUCUCCUUCCUGCUCGCAACGCCGGCAACAGAGGGAGCCGGGCGCCGGCCUGGCCGUCGUCUAGCUGCUCCCCAGGGUCGGCCGACGAGCGGAGGGGCUCCGCCACUCAACGCCGCGCCCGUAGGUAGCCUGGGAAAGGCCCGGGGCAGCCUACAGCGCCGGGGCCGUGGAGGUCCGCGGCGCCCGGAGAAAGAGGGCGGCGGGGUCGGUGGUUGGGUGGCUCCUGUGGGGGAAAAGGACGGGCGGCGAGCCAGGGAGGAUCGCCGGAGAGUGGUGCGUCCAUCCAUGGGCUCGGACAGGGCAGGGGACGGCUGGAGAGAGGGGUUGGGCGCGGAACAGAGAGGUGGGCUCGCCGUAAAUCUGAGCGCUCCAGCGAGGGAUACGGUCGGGCUCAGGCGCUGGAGUGCUCUGGAGGAAUGGGGAAGGGGUUGGCUUGCUUGGAGAAGGCUCGGGCUGGCUAUUUAUAGCCGGGGCAAGGAGGGGAGGAGGUGGCACGCGGCGAGCGACAUGUCCGCGUGUCGGCGACGGCGCAGUGUCGGCAGGCGCGGCCAAGGCUCACGGGAAGCAGCGGGAAGGCGACGAGGAGGAUCAAGACGAGCAGCAGAGGCUCACGGAGACGAGAGGCGCUCGGGGACGAAAGGAGGAAGCGGACAGAGGCGAGGAAGAAGACGAGCUCACGGGCAUGCACUACUCGAGCGUUGGCACGGCUCGCCGGAGAAGAAAACGAAGGGAGCAAAAGAUCCAGAGGGAAGAGGGCGGCGAGGGGGAACUGUUGGGCAUUAAUGGCGAAGCCAGAGACGGUCGGAGCAGCGAUGCCGACGACAACAGUGGCUAGACCACCGUUUUGGCUGGCUGCCCUCGUAGUCACCACUGACAUGGCGCGCUCUGGGGAUUUUACUGAGGCCAGUUCAUGUCUACCGCGUAGUCCUUCCAGAGUGGAGUAUUACCAUGGUAAAGAAACGGGCAGAGACAAAAUGAGCUGAGUAAACCAAGCUCCACAAGUUUACUGCUGCAAACUUUACCACGGUCUAGAGAUUAAACCAGAGAGGGUAAAAGGUAAAAAUGGCGUCUGGGAGGCUUAGGGUAGCAAGGACUACGGUCCUGGAGAUUAUGAGAUAAUUUGGUCAAGUAUUUAGCAUAGUUGCUGUACAACUGCUAAAUCUGACCUAGAAACUGAAUGAGGAAGAAGCACUCACUAGGAGUGAUGGAUUGAGCUAAAACUUGGAAAAUUUUGAUAAUUUGGACAUACAAUGAUGCUGUAAAAAGUUCAUACCAAAUGGACUUACCAAAAUGGUACUUCCUUCACAGCUAUCAUUUCUGUCCAAAAACUUCAGAAAACUCCUCAGGGCAGUUGGCUAGAUGAAAUGAGCCAAAAUCUUGUGGAGAUAGAUCAUAUAGAUAGGCAAAGGCCUGGGAAAAUUAUCAGCCAUAAUGGAGCAAGAUAAAAUACACUUUCUUCACAAACUGAAAAAUUGGACAGAAACCAAGAAUUGCUCCUGUGCUCACAUAGUUCAAUGAAAUGAACUGAAUUUGGGUGGAGGCUAAUGAUUUGAGAUACUUGAGAGGAUGGAAAAGUUUCAUCCCAUUUGGAAACUCUAUGAAGGUACUUCCUUCACAAAGUUGCAUUCCGGUCAGAAACUUUGAAAAAUUGCACCGGGAGCUAGGAUGAAUGGAUUGAGCUCAUAUUCGGCAUCCAUGGGUUAUUUAUCAAUGUUACACACCCUGACAAAUUGCAGCUCAAGUGGAAUUAGGAAUAAAGCACUUCCUUUGCAAAAUUUCAGAGAAGGCAGAAACUUGUAUUGGAUCAUGUGCCAAAAUUUUGAACUGAGGAACAUGAGAUUAGGAUCGAACUAGUGAUUAUAUAGCAAGGACAAGCUCCACAAUUUAUGUGGUAAUUUUCUCCGCUAUAAAAAUAGUAGUUCCUUUGGAAAAUGGCAGAAAUGCAAUAUUGGCAUUAAAUAGGAAAAGGCAAUUUUCCUUAUUUAAUUAUGGCCAAUAUACUUGCCAGAGCUUGGAUUAAGCAUAAGUAUCAACUCCACCAAUUCUCAUGAAUUUAGGAGAUGUCUAGCUAUGCCUUUGGAUUUUAUUCCUUAGAAAGGCAAGAAAAGGAAUAAAUCACAAUUCAAAAAUAUUGCAUGGGACUUAGCAAUAUUUUUGCAUAUCUAAGGUUCAGAAAGAUAGGAUGAUCUCUGGGAACAAUUGGGAGGAUCAACAGAUCAAGGAAAAUGAUGGCUCCUUUGUAAGCACAAAGGACCUAUCCAAAUUCCAAAAAUUUGGAAUUAGGGUUUGAGAGGAUUUGAGCUGAUGCAAAUGAGGUCUUGCCCAAUGAAAAAAACAUGAGCAAGGUUUUGAAAGGUUCGAAAUGACAAAAAUUCCUCAGAGUCAUCCAGCAAACUCAGGAGAAAGAUUUUGAAAAUGAGUGCCAGGAAGGAAUAACAGCACAAAAAUUGAUAACCCAAUUUUGGGGCUGUUACAACUCUUCCCCCCCCCCCCCUUAAAAAGAAUCUCGUCCUCGAGAUUCCUAGGGUUACAACACAAUCGAAAAGAUAACCACUCCGGGGAAAAACCUCGGGGUUAAUUUUUUAACCCUUUGGUUAAAUUAAAACGAGAUAGGGGCACCGAUAAUUGGUACACCCGGAAAGGGGUAUGGCAUACCUGGAUAUAUCCACUGCUAGGGGCACUUGAGAUCAAACUCCCGAAAAAUGCUAGAUGCACCCAAUGAACAGUGGUUUCCCCUGCUGACACGUGGGUCCAGGGCCCACUGGCAGCCUCCUUCUUCUACCUCCAGCUUGCUGCUUCUCCUAUGCUGCUGCUCCGCGUGCGGCUUGGCGCAGCGCGCAUCUAGCUCCUAGGGCAAUGAGGACCCUAGAGCCAUAGUGCACGGCGUGCAUGGCGCCGGUGCAGCGAGCACUCACGUCGCGGGCCAGCACCUUGUCGGCACUGCUCGCGGAUUCGCCUCCUGGACGCCGGUGAUCGAGCGACGAGCGGUUCUCCUGGACCUCGCUCACCGUACACCGGGGUUGGGUUAUAAAAGACGGCAGCGCGGCUCUCCUCCAACGCACAAACACAAUGCCACUCUACUACCUCUUCGGUUUGGGCAAGAUCAAGCCGAGCUCCUUCGGCGAGCAGGUGUUCUUGGUGGCGUUGCGUUUGUUCCUCGCAGCGCUGCUGGGCACGCUGAUAGGCUCGUCACUCCUCCUGCUGAUUCUCAUCAGGAAUGAUCGAGCUCGGAACAACGCGCGACUGGGUGCGGUGGCUUGUGAUGCGGGAGAAGAUGGCGCACUGGGUGGUCCUCCGCCAUGCUUGAUUCUCCGUCGGUUUGCCCCGGCGGAGUAAUCGCAUGCUGCGGUGGAGCGGUGGUGGCGAUCAACCUGCGCCGCGCAAGGCAGAGCUGAUGGUGGUGAUGGGGUCCGGAUGUAGGUGAGGUGGCUGUGCUAGCUCGAAAAUCACACGGAGUACGAGGAAAAUUUCGUGGAUAGCUCCACGAAAUGUAGGUGUCAAGGUGGAAUCAAGUUGAAACUUGUAUCGGGGUAGAUGUACUGGAUCGAGGGAGUAAGGUUGGCAGUGUUCCUCCGGAAAUGAAAUUGGGAAAAAGAAUUAGAGACGGGGAAUUUCCGGGCGGAAAUGCCUCUGCGAGGUUCUUGAUUUGAAAAUCCGGCACACGGUGUAUGCACAGAUAAAUAGGGGUAUGUGACUUUGCAUUUCCCCGAGUACUGCCCGAAUGUACUCGUGGGUGAACCGGGUAUGUGUGCAGUAUGCAGUAAAAUCUAAGCUAGCAAACAGACAGGGGCAAUAAACAUGCAAUGAAAAACACACGAGACAAAUCAUACUAGAGUGUGUUCAUGCUAGUGGGUAUAUGUACUCCUGGCAUACAUAUACCUACACUAGCGCGCAUUUUAUUAUAGACUCGAGACGAGUCAAUGUUAUUUUAGUGUAUGUGAUCUACUAAUUAAAAUCUUGUUAGCAACAUAGUGUCAACCCUGUCAAACAUUUUUGCUUGACAGAGAGACAAGCAAAAACAAUACAAAAACAAAAGCACAAAAGCAUACAUGGAACACAACAUACGGAUUACAACAGUACUAGCAUACAACAGAGCACGAACGCUCUACGCACUAAAUGGAACAACUCAUUCCGGGAUACAUGGUUCUAUCCUCAUAUUGGGGAUGAACCGACAGACUGAUCACCUCACUGCGUGACUGAGGUCAUGCAGAGGACUUGCCUUGCUGGGGCUCUCCGGGAGGACGAAGACUGAGCCAAUCUCCAUCUUCAUCGUCUGACAGCACUAUGGGUUGGGGUUCGGCUGCUGGGGGUGUGGCUGAAAUUGAUCCGAGCAAAUGCUGCUGGUGGAUCCGUAAAAGAGCCUUGUCGAGGGUGACGAUGUUGGGUCUAGGCUACAACACAGGCUGAGAGGAUAGCACUGGUUCGGAUGGCAUUGGGCAAAUGACUUGAGAUGCGAAUUUACGAGCCUCGCGGUAAGCUUCCUUGACGACUCGCACUGCAUCGUUGUCCAGAGUUCUAAACUCGGCAGGCAUCUGGGAAAUCAUCAUCCCCUGGGCGGUGAUAUACUGCACCAAGCGAGCGAUUGCGGGGUCAUCUCCUUGGAUAGCGGGAGAAGGCUGCAUUCCUAGUUCUGUCACAAUGGGGUAAAAGAAGAAAUCCCGCCUCGCAGCCAUAUGCGGGUACCUGGUUCGGAGGUGAAGCAUAGCCUCCACAGUAGCGGCCUGAAUGGCUAAAUCAGAGGUACGCAUAGCUCUACCCUGAAAAACCAACGGCUGGCCAUCUGCCGCGGGACCUAGGCUGAUGUGCACUCUUACAUCAAAGCGAUGAAGGUGAGGGACGGGUGCUGAUUGGAACACCAGGUAAUCGGGGCUAUCCUUACAGCCAAAGGCUUUGGUGAGCAUCUUAGUAAGAAGGGGUGGAAAGCCAGUGUGGUUGACGGCACCUGUGCGGGUGUAAAGCUUGGGAGCUUUGAAGGUGCCAGCCAUGGCUGGAGUGCUACUAGCUAGGCUUCUCCGCAGGGACAUGGCUGACUGAGGGGUGAGCGAUACGGCGAGCGGAAAGGGGGUUUUUAUAGGCAGCUAGGCAGGACAUGCCCGCAUGGUGUGGCCCCUUUCCCUUAAUGGCGAAGGGUGAGCGGUGCGGCCGACCGGAAAGGAUGCGGUUGCUAUUCGUUCCACGGAUAACUAGGCGGGGAUAGCGGGGUGAGGACGUGUCGGUCCCGACUGCGCCACCUGUUGAUUAACAGUGGCCAUGCCGGAUGCCAGGGAUGCCCUUAGGGCCAUUACGGGUUAAUGGUAGCGGUGAUCUAAUGCUAGGAUAACCUAUGCCAGCCUGGCUGCUCUGAUACCAUGUCCUGUGGCACCCCGAUCCGCAUGGAGUGGGGGCCUUCGCACGUCAGCCCAUGAUAACACCUGACACACGACAGGUCCAUAAUACAGCAUUCCAGGUACAAUAAUAUUCAUCAAAUACAUGUGCAUAAGCUUAUAUCAUUGAUGAAUACAAUCAUCUGGCAUAGCCCUACGACUAUUUGAAUGGCAGCGGAAGUCUUGGUUUGGCGGCUCAUCAACUCUGGCUGGACUCCACAACUCACAGGACUGGCAAGGUUAUGGCCUAGCACGAUGGAUCAAUCGAAUAAUUCAAGUAUGACCUACAAAACUGGCAUGACACGCCAGGUCAGUACAUUGAAUGUACUUGCAAGACAACCAAAUACAUAGCAUCCAAACAAGCAGAAGACAAGGCAAGAACCGAGCGCAUGUAACAGCCUAUCUCAUAUCAAUUACUAAACAUGGCAUGAUAAAGAUCAACUAAGCAUGAACAAUAUCAUAGCAUCUACUAACAUGACAGUAAUCAUGGCAUAU